CGCAGUCCGCUCUACCCCCCCCACCGCGGCACCAAAAAAAGACUCGCAGCCCUCCGCCAGCCACCGCCCACAGCCUCACCUUGAAGGGGUUGUUGAGGCCCGGGUCGGCGAAAGGAUUGCUGUCGAAGGCCGACAUUGCAGAGGCAGGCGGGCACUGGGCAGCGAUUUUUCCCCUACAGCACCCCUCACACUCGCUGGCUAUCACAAAUAUCACUAACUGCUACAACCCAAGCAGGACCAGCCACGGAGCACCGACCUCCCAAAAUGUCUGCGGAGCAACCUCACUUCCGAGGCAAAACGGCUGUGGAAAAAGAAAAGAACCGCUGACUAAAAAGGCGAGCAGGAGGCGAGGAGGGAGCAGGGCUUGGAAGAGCCCAUUCCCGGGGCAGCUGACAUCUGAGGACCCCAUCCAUGCACCCGGACACUCCCCCCUUCAGCCAGGAGUCUGUGAGAGUUGCUGGGGGAAGAGGGAGGGGAUUGAGUGUUGCACAUCCCUUUAUAAAUAUAUAUAUUCCCCUAUCACUAAUAAUUAAAAUCAAUUUAUUUCACUUUUCAA